AUUGAACGCUGGCGGCAGGCUUAACACAUGCAAGUCGAGCGAGCGGCGGACGGGUGAGUAAUGUCUGGGAAACUGCCUGCUGGAGGGGGAUAACUACUGGAAACGGUAGCUAAUACCGCAUACCAUCAGAUGUGCCCAGAUGGGAUUAGCUAGUAUGUGGGGUAAUGGCUCACCUAGGCGACGAUCCCUAGCUGGUCUGAGAGGAUGACCAGCCACACUGGAACUGAGACACGGUCCAGACUCCUGAGGGAGGCAGCAGUGGAGAAUAUUACACAGUGGGCGAAAGCCGGAUGCAGCCAUGCCGAGUGUGUGAAGAAGGACUUCGGGUUGUAAAGCACUUUUGGCGAGGAGGCGGUACUCGCAGAAGAAGCACCGGCUAACUCCGUGCCAGCAGCCGCGGUAAUUC
rnacentral:rRNA from 1 species